rnacentral:rRNA from 1 species
AUUGAACGCUGGCGGCAUGCUUUACACAUGCAAGUCGAACGGUAACAGGCCUUCGGGUGCUGACGAGUGGCGAACGGGUGAGUAAUGCAUCGGAACGUGCCCAAUUGUGGGGGAUAACGUAGCGAAAGUUACGCUAAUACCGCAUAAGCCCUGAGGGGGAAAGUGGGGGACCGGAAACGGCCUCACGCGAAUGGAGCGGCCGAUGUCAGAUUAGCUAGUUGGUGGGGUAAAGGCCCACCAAGGCGACGAUCUGUAGCGGGUCUGAGAGGAUGAUCCGCCACACUGGGACUGAGACACGGCCCAGACUCCUACGGGAGGCAGCAGUGGGGAAUUUUGGACAAUGGGCGCAAGCCUGAUCCAGCCAUGCCGCGUGCGGGACGAAGGCCUCGGUGUAACGACUUCUAGCGAAGAAUACGACUGUUUUAUUACUAGACAGUGGAUGACGGUA